GACGAACGCUGGCGGCGUGCUUAACACAUGCAAGUCGAGCGGUAAGGCCCUUUCGGGGGUACGACGAGCGGCGAACGGGUGAGUAACACGUGGGUGACCUGCCCUCCAGCUCUGGGAUAAGCCUGGGAAACUGGGUCUAAUACUGGAUAUGACUCCACGGUGCAUGUCGUGGGGUGGAAAGCCUUGUGCGGCUGAGGAUGGGCCCGCGGCCUAUCAGCUUGUUGGUGGGGUGAUGGCCUACCAAGGCGACGACGGGUAGCCGGCCUGAGAGGGCGACCGGCCACACUGGGACUGAGACACGGCCCAGACUCCUACGGGAGGCAGCAGUGGGGAAUCUUGCGCAAUGGGCGAAAGCCUGACGCAGCGACGCCGCGUGAGGGAUGACGGCCU
rnacentral:rRNA from 1 species